GUCCGAGUAAUUCAAUGGCUAGAAUGGAAUGUUAACACCUUUCUUACGGCGGUUCGAUUCCGUCCUUGGACA